rnacentral:rRNA from 1 species
CGGGUGACUAAUAUAUCCUUAACGUGGGUCGAGUGGGGGAUAACGUAAGGUCUGUUGCGCCGGCAGGGCAAACUACCUCAGGAUGAAAGCAGGGGAUCUUCGGACCUUGUGCUCCUGGAGCGGCCGAUAUCUGAUUAGCUAGUUGGUGAGGUAAAGGCUCACCAAGGCAACGAUCAGUAGCUGGUCUGAGAGGACGACCAGCCACACUGGAACUGAGACACGGUCCAGACUCCUACGGGAGGCAGCAGUGGGGAAUUUUGGACAAUGGGGGCAACCCUGAUCCAGCAAUGCCGCGUGAGUGAAGAAGGCCUUCGGGUUGUAAAGCUCUUUUGUCAGGGAAGAAAAGGGUCUGGCUAAUAUCCAGAUCUGCUGACGGUACCUGAAGAAUAAGCACCGGCUAACUACGUGCCAGCAGCCGCGGUAAUACGUAGGGUGCAAGCGUUAAUCGGAAUUACUGGGCGUAAAGCGUGCGCAGGCGGUUUUGUAAGUCUGUCGUGAAAUCCCCGGGCUUAACCUGGGAAUGGCGAUGGAGACUGCAAGGCUAGAGUUUGGCAGAGGGGGGUAGAAUUCCACGUGUAGCAGUGA